UACAGAGGGGGCAAGCGUUGUUCGGAAUUACUGGGCGUAAAGGGCGCGUAGGCGGCCUUCUAAGUCGAACGUGAAAUCCCCGGGCUCAACCCGGGAACUGCGUCCGAUACUGGAAGGCUUGAAUCCGGGAGAGGGAUGCGGAAUUCUAGGUGUAGCGGUGAAAUGCGUAGAUAUCUGGAGGAACACCGGUGGCGAAGGCGGCAUCCUGGACCGGCAUUGACGCUGAGGCGCGAAAGCCAGGGGAGCAAACGGG
rnacentral:rRNA from 1 species